rnacentral:ncRNA from 1 species
GGACGAUGGGGUUAGCAAUGCGUCGUGCGAGAUUCAGCCGGUGGGUGGGCCAGGCGGGCGGUUGGCGGAUCUGAAUGGACCGCUGCCGUUCGGGUUGGUUUCCCGACCGUCGCACUUCUCGCAGGCGCGCGCCAACGUCGGUUAGGGCUGGGUCUCAAAGGCGGUGGAAAGGUAGGUUUGGACUCUCGGGCCCGAACUGUUACAGUCCUCCGUUUGUCAUGGCCCGGACCUGACCGAGGAGCUUGCGGUGCAUGCCGUUCGGCUAGGGUCCCGUCUUCCCGGUCGGUCGUCGAAUGCGGUGGACUGCGUGCAGUGCGCCGCGACUGCUGCCGGUCGCGAGGGCGGUGAUUUCGUACUAUGCACCCACGACGUUGGCGGUCAUAUGGCCUCAUCCGACCCGUCUUGAAACACGGACCAAGGAGUCUAACAUGUGUGCGAGUCUUUGAGUGACCGAAACUCCGAGGCGUAAUGAAAGUGAAGGCGACUUCGGUCGCUGAGGUGAGAGCCUUUUUCCAAAAAAAAAGGCGCAUCAUCGACCGACCUAUUCUACUCUUAGAAAGGUUUGAGUAAGAGCGCAUCUGUUGGGACCCGAAAGAUGGUGAACUAUGCCUGAAUAGGGUGAAGCCAGAGGAAACUCUGGUGGAGGCUCGUAGCGAUUCUGACGUGCAAAUCGAUCGUCAAAUUUGGGUAUAGGGGCGAAAGACUAAUCGAACUGUCUAGUAGCUGGUUCCCUCCGAAGUUUCCCUCAGGAUAGCUGGAACUUACGGCAGUUUUAUCAGGUAAAGCGAAUGAUUAGAGGUCUUAGGGUUAAAACAACCUUAACCUAUUCUCAAACUUUAAAUUGGUAAGAAGUCCGACUUGCUUAAUUGAAGCCGGACAGUGAAUGCGAGUUCCUAGUGGGCCAUUUUUGGUAAGCAGAACUGGCGAUGCGGGAUGAACCGAACGCGCGGUUAAGGUGCCAAAGUCGACGCUCAUCAGACCCCACAAAAGUUGUUGGUUGCUCUAGACAGCAGGACGGUGGCCAUGGAAGUUGGAAUCCGCUAAGGAGUGUGUAACAACUCACCUGCCGAAGCAACUAGCCCUGAAAAUGGAUGGCGCUCAAGCGUCGCACCUAUACCGUGCCGUCGGAGCAGAUGCGAAGCUCCGACGAGUAGGAGGGCGUGNGGGUCGUGACGCAGCCUCUGGCGCGAGCCUGGGUGAAACGGCCUCCAGUGCAGAUCUUGGUGGUAGUAGCAAAUAUUCAAAUGAGAGCUUUGAAG